GGGUCGAUGAAGAACGCAGCCAGCUGCGAGACUUGGUGUGAAUUGCAGGACACACUGAGCACUUACUCUUUGAACGCACAUUGCGGCCUCGGGCCUUCCCGUGGCUUCGUCUGUGUGAGGGUCGG
rnacentral:rRNA from 1 species